rnacentral:tRNA from 1 species
UAUUCUCUUAGUAUAACAAGUACAGUUGACUUCCAAUCAACCAGUUCCAGCAACAAAACCGGAAAAGAAUAA